rnacentral:lncRNA from 1 species
GACUCAACCUCAAUUAGCAACCCUCAAUCCGGGUUCCAACACUCGCUAUCCAGACCAGGGCACAUUUCUAAAAACCAACGAAUCUAUCCAUCCAACCAUCCAAGAAAAAGGCACCAGUCCCAUCAUAGAGGGUAAAUUGGCCAUCUUAAACCGGUCUCAUCACACAGCGUAAAUUGUUCAACUUAGCCCAGAACAAGACACCUAUCCCAUCACAUAGGAAAAAUUGGUCAUCUCGCACAAGUCUCAUCACAAAGGGCAAACUAGUCAACGCAUAGACAUAAUAACUAACCAACUGGACAGUAAGAGAAAUUUAUCUAAUAUGUAUUUAAAAAAUUCUAAAUAGAAUUUAAAUAGAGAGGUGUCGAGCACCUACUUGAAAUUUAGGCAUAGUAUGCAGGAUCC